GCGAUCGUAGUCUAGCCUGGUAGGACAUUGCCUUGCCAAGGCAGUAACCCGGGUUCAAAUCCCGGCGGUCGCA
rnacentral:tRNA from 1 species